UGAUGUUAGAUAUCUGUUCUUUUUUUUAAAAUAAAAAGGUCACCACAACAUCGGGCAGUGACAAGAUGAUUCAGGCCUCUUUGAGAUAACAGGACAAAGUGAUCCCAUGGUAUACAUUACAAGGCAAGAACACAUUAUUUCGAUACAAAACCAUUGAAACAAAGCAACAACACUAAUUUCUUGAUGAUAAUAAUAAAGAGCAAUAUCACCAACCAGAUUACAUUAAAAUUACUAGCAAAUGCCAGUGUAAGUUAGCAAGGAUAUAGUCAUGGCCCUUAUUAGGAAACAACAAUUGAAUAAGGCUAAAAUGUUAAACUGUGGCGCACACCACAUGAUUUAACUAAAAAAAUUCCUACUAAAUCAUAAGAUGAUUACCAAAAUUGCCAUGUGGCUAGGACUAAAGGUGCGAAGUAAUGACCCUACAAAGCAAACUCAUUUAGUAAGCUCGACUCCAAUUUCACAGCAACCAAACCUGUUCCUAGAACAAGUACAGUUGGGAAAGAAAUCUGCUGUCACCAUGGCUUACUAGAGUAAACAUGGGCAGGCACAUGACAUUUUAUAGCAAUGGGUGCAUGAUCCAACAUUCUAGCAGAAAAUGCAAGCCAACACUCAGAUCAUAACCUCCUCUGAAGAUACAUCUAGAUGAUGCAUGCUAAUAUGCUGUAUCUAAUCAGAAAUUAAAUCUGUUAAAAUGAGCCUAUGCCACAGCAAUACACCCCCCUCAUUAUUUUGGAUCUAUUUCAGCAUGAAAUUUGGCAAAACUGCACUGUUUUUACUAUGAAAGUAUUUCGGGUGGGAAGAGCAGUAAAAGAAAUAAAACCAUCCCAAAACAACAAUCUAGGAAGCAUAUCGCACCAAAAAGGUAACAACUAUUAAAAUUUCGAAAAGCAACUGCAUUUUGUGCCAAAUGGACACCUCAAAAUGUGAUAUUUCCAUCACUCUACUCCUGCUUUAGGAUAUGCAAUCAACAAGGCCAUAAUGACCACCUGGCAUUUCUCUUCUGUUUUAUUUUUGAACAGGAGAGAGGAGAUUGAAAGGAGUCGAACUUCAGACUCCCCUGAAGUGUCAAAAGCACUCUCUCUACCAACCCAAUCUAUGAUGGAUUGGUCAUUUGGCAUUUCCGCCAUUCAAAAAAGGCUCCCUGGGAUGCUUUUCUAUCAUGUUCCCAGCAUAUAUACAAGAACACUUCAACCAACAAAUAU